rnacentral:rRNA from 1 species
UGCAGUCGAGCGAGAAGCCCCUCGGGGUGAGUACAGCGGCGGACGGGUGAGUAACGCGUAGGAAUCUACCCAGUAGUGGGGGACAACUAGUGGAAACGCUAGCUAAUACCGCAUACGCCCUAAGGGGGAAAGCGGGGGAUCCUCGGACCUCGUGCUAUUGGAUGAGCCUGCGUAAGAUUAGCUUGUUGGUGAGGUAAUGGCUCACCAAGGCUACGAUCUUUAGCUGGUCUGAGAGGAUGAUCAGCCACACCGGGACUGAGACACGGCCCGGACUCCUAUGGGAGGCAGCAGUCGGGAAUAUUGCGCAAUGGGGGAAACCCUGACGCAGCCAUGCCGCGUGUGUGAAGAAGGCCCUAGGGUUGUAAAGCACUUUCAAUUGGGAGGAAAAGCUAAUGGUUAAUAACCAUUAGCCCUGACGUUACCUUUAGAAGAAGCACCGGCUAACUCCGUGCCAGCAGCCGCGGUAAUACGGAGGGUGCAAGCGUUAAUCGGAAUUACUGGGCGUAAAGCGCGCGUAGGCGGUUUUUUAAGUCGGUUGUGAAAGCCCCGGGCUCAACCUGGGAAUUGCAGCCGAUACUGGAUGACUAGAAUGCGGGAGAGGGAGGUAGAAUUCCAUGUGUAGCAGUGAAAUGCGUAGAUAUAUGGAGGAAUACCAGUGGCGAAGGCGGCCUCCUGGCUCGACAUUGACGCUGAGGUGCGAAAGCGUGGGGAGCAAACGGGAUUAGAUACCCCGGUAGUCCACGCCGUANACGAUGUCUACUAGCUGUAGGGGUACUUGAGACCUUUGUAGCGCAGCUAACACAAUAAGUAGACCGCCUGGGGAGUACGGCCGCAAGGUUAAAACUCAAAUGAAUUGACGGGGGCCCGCACAAGCAGUGGAGCAUGUGGUUUAAUUCGA